GACGGAGGGUGCAAGCGUUGUUCGGAUUGACUGGGCGUAAAGGGCGUGUAGGCGGUUGGUCAAGUCCGAUGUGAAAGCCCGGGGCUCAGCUCCGGAAGUGCAUCGGAAACUAGCCAGCUGGAGCGCGAUAGAGGAGGGUGGAAUUCCUGGUGUAGCGGUGAAAUGCGUAGAUAUCAGGAGGAACACCGGCGGCGAAGGCGGCCCUCUGGAUCGUUGCUGACGCUGAGACGCGAAAGCGUGGGGAGCAAACAGG
rnacentral:rRNA from 1 species